rnacentral:tRNA from 1 species
UGUUCUGUGGCUUAGUUGGUUGAAGCACUCGUCUUGCGAAUAUGGAGUCGUGGGUUCGAAUCCCACCAGAACAU